CAGGCCGACUAAAGAUGGCUUCCAAUUCGUUCCGUAUUCGAAACCAGCGAGUUAUUUAGAAAAAUACAAGUGCUGUAUCAGACUCUGUGGAAGACCUCAUCAACAGCUGAACUUGGAAAUUUUGAAAGAUCGUUCAAAGGCGAAACAUCUAUACGUCUGUACAAAACACUUUGUCGACGGGAAAUCCAAUCAAGAAAACCCUGACCCUCAAGCAGCUACUGUAUUUGUCCAGCUCACACCAGCUAGGCCUCCUCCAAAACUCAGAUAAAUAUUUGAGCCACCAAAAAAAAACGAGAACAGAUCGGUCUGAAUCGUUAAGAACUGAAGCUAACAUCAUAGAGGUACAUCCUUCCAAGAAUCCAUCAAAACAACAUGCUGAACAACUUCAAGAACUCUCUUCAAAAGACCACACUUUCCUGAAAUAAAUAAAAGAUGCCAAUAUUAAAAUAAAUCAGUUACAUGUAUUGUUAAAUAUUUUAAUACUAGCUGUAAAUGCUACUGCCUUUGAUGUUUGCUUCCUACAUGUAUAUCAUAAUGAAAUAUUGACAAGAUAAUAGCUAAUGUUU